AUGAACGCUAGCUACAGGCUUAACACAUGCAAGUCGAGGGGCAGCAUGGUCUUAGCUUGCUAAGGCCGAUGGCGACCGGCGCACGGGUGAGUAACACGUAUCCAACCUGCCGUCUACUCUUGGACAGCCUUCUGAAAGGAAGAUUAAUACAAGAUGGCAUCAUGAGUCCGCAUGUUCACAUGAUUAAAGGUAUUCCGGUAGACGAUGGGGAUGCGUUCCAUUAGAUAGUAGGCGGGGUAACGGCCCACCUAGUCUUCGAUGGAUAGGGGUUCUGAGAGGAAGGUCCCCCACAUUGGAACUGAGACACGGUCCAAACUCCUACGGGAGGCAGCAGUGAGGAAUAUUGGUCAAUGGGCGAGAGCCUGAACCAGCCAAGUAGCGUGAAGGAUGACUGCCCUAUGGGUUGUAAACUUCUUUUAUAAAGGAAUAAAGUCGGGUAUGCAUACCCGUUUGCAUGUACUUUAUGAAUAAGGAUCGGCUAACUCCGUGCCAGCAGCCGCGGUAAUACGGAGGAUCCGAGCGUUAUCCGGAUUUAUUGGGUUUAAAGGGAGCGUAGAUGGAUGUUUAAGUCAGUUGUGAAAGUUUGCGGCUCAACCGUAAAAUUGCAGUUGAUACUGGAUAUCUUGAGUGCAGUUGAGGCAGGCGGAAUUCGUGGUGUAGCGGUGAAAUGCUUAGAUAUCACGAAGAACUCCGAUUGCGAAGGCAGCCUGCUAAGCUGCAACUGACAUUGAGGCUCGAAAGUGUGGGUAUCAAGCAGGAUUAGAUACCCUGGUAGUCCACACGGUAAACGAUGAAUACUCGCUGUUUGCGAUAUACAGCAAGCGGCCAAGCGAAAGCGUUAAGUAUUCCACCUGGGGAGUACGCCGGCAACGGUGAAACUCAAAGGAAUUGACGGGGGCCCGCACAAGCGGAGGAACAUGUGGUUUAAUUCGAUGAUACGCGAGGAACCUUACCCGGGCUUAAAUUGCAGAUGAAUUACGGUGAAAGCCGUAAGCCGCAAGGCAUCUGUGAAGGUGCUGCAUGGUUGUCGUCAGCUCGUGCCGUGAGGUGUCGGCUUAAGUGCCAUAACGAGCGCAACCCUUGUUGUCAGUUACUAACAGGUCAUGCUGAGGACUCUGACAAGACUGCCAUCGUAAGAUGUGAGGAAGGUGGGGAUGACGUCAAAUCAGCACGGCCCUUACGUCCGGGGCUACACACGUGUUACAAUGGGGGGUACAGAGGGCCGCUACCACGCGAGUGGAUGCCAAUCCCAAAAACCUCUCUCAGUUCGGACUGGAGUCUGCAACCCGACUCCACGAAGCUGGAUUCGCUAGUAAUCGCGCAUCAGCCACGGCGCGGUGAAUACGUUCCCGGGCCUUGUACACACCGCCCGUCAAGCCAUGGGAGCCGGGGGUACCUGAAGUGCGUAACCGCGAGGAGCGCCCUAGGGUAAAACUGGUGACUGGGGCU
rnacentral:rRNA from 1 species